GACGAACGCUGGCGGCGUGCCUAAUACAUGCAAGUCGAACGAGUGGCGGACGGGUGAGUAACACGUGGGAACCUACCCAUCGGAGGGGGAUAACUACUGGAAACGGUAGCUAAUACCGCAUACCUUCAGAUGUGCCCAGUUGGGAUUAGCUAGUAGGUGGGUUACUGGCUCACCUAGGCGACGAUCCCUAGCUGGUCUGGGAGGGUGACCAGCCACACUGGAACUGAGACACGGUCCAGACUGCUACGGAAGGCAGCAGUGGGGAAUAUUGCACUAUUGGCGCAAGCCUGAUGCAGCCAUGCCGCGUGUGUGAAGAAGGCCUUCGGGUUGUAAAGCACUUUCAGCGAGGAGGCGUUACUCGCAGAAGAAGCACCGGCUAACUCCGUGCCAGCAGCCGCGGUAAUUC
rnacentral:rRNA from 1 species